CAGCAGCCGCGGGAAGACAGAGGAUGCAAGCGUUAUCCGGAAUGAUUGGGUGUAAAGGGUGUGCAGACGGCUUAUUAAGUCACUUGUUAAAUUCUUCGGCCUAACUGAAGGUCUGCAAGUGAUACUGAUGAGCUAGAGGGUGGAAGAGAGAAGUGGAAUUCUCGGAGUAGCGGUAAAAUGCGUAGAUCUCGAGAGGAACACCAAUGGCGAAGGCAGCUUCUUGGUCCAUUCCUGACGUUCAUACACGAAAGCGUGGGGAGCAAACAGGAUUAGAUACCCCAGUAGUCCCUGUCUCUUAUAA
rnacentral:rRNA from 1 species